ensembl:lncRNA
CUGCUGGGGGGCACCCAGCCCACAGCAGGGGGUUGGUCCCGCAUGGCCAUUGAGGUCCCUUCCAACCCAACCAUUCAGUGAUUCUAAAACUGCUCCAGGAUGCCCCGGCAUCCACUUGGCUCCGGGCUGUGGGAACCGGUGGCAUCGCCUGUGCUGUUGCCAUGGGGUUGCCAUGGUAUUUGUCUCUGCUGUUGCCAUGGAGAGAGGAGGAGGUUGGGAAUGGGGGGUUGCUGCCAGGGCCACCAGCACGUCCCCGGGCCCUGCAGUGAGGAGUCAUGGGUCGGACUUGGCCCACAGCUCCCCAGGUCCUCCUCCUUGCACUUCUUGAAGCUAGGACUGACAUCACUUCUCCCAAGGAACACAAGCUCACCACUAGUAUAGCAGCAAAUAGAUUUAUGACUGAUUUCUUGCACGCACGUGGAUACACACAUAUCCAACAUGUCACCAGCGCACGGCGCUGUAGAGGAAGAGGGCCACCAAAAGGACAAGGGCCUGGAGCAGGGUGACACAGUGCAGCACUGCCACUACUUCUGGGGCAGAGCAUGGAGGAGCACUGGGAGCAAAUGGGGAGCCCCCCAGCAGGUCAGUCUGCACAGGGCCCAUGCAUGAGGCACCCUUCUCCUUCUUGUGCACCAUCACCAGGGAUCAGGCCAGGUAAAGAUGGGUGGUAGCCGUCCCUGGGCUUCCCCUGCUGGGGGGUGACAGAGUGCACUGAUUGGGACUCGGGGCCACAGCAGCCAUUGUGUGUCUGAGGGAUGUCACCAUUGCGUCACAGACAUGGCCUUGUUUUGAGUGGCUCCAUGCUGUGGCCCUCUAUCAGAAGAGCAGCUGGGAGGAGGAGGGCUGUUGUUAAGAGCUGUGUGGUCAUGCUGGUGGCCACACACUUAAUAUGACUUCCAAGCAGAAGAUGAAGCUAUGGAUUCUGGCAAUCAUGACAAUCCUCCCAGCCCUCAGCAUCUGGGGUCGCUGGGGCCACAGGGUGUUCUGCAUCAUUAUUCUGCUGGGCAUAGCAGUGCUGGCCAUCCUCAUGGCCAGGAGGCAUCACAACAACGACAAGGUAGGAGCCAGCUGGUGUCAUCCAAACGCUGCCUGGGCACAGCCUGGUAC